UAUACGACCGUACCGCAAACCGACACUGGUGCGCGAGAUGAUUAUUCUAAGGCGCUUGAGAGAACUCAGGAGAAGGAACUCGGCAAAUUGACACCGUAACUUCGGAAGAAGGUGUGCCCUAUUAGUGUGUAGUGAACAACGAAGCAUGAAUGGGUUGCAAAAAAUCGGUGGCUGCGACUGUUUAUUAAAAACACAGCACUCUGCAAACACGAAAGUGGACGUAUAGGGUGUGACGCCUGCCCGGUGCUGGAAGAUUAAAUGAUGGGGUGCAAGCUCUUGAUUGAAGUCCCAGUAAACGGCGGCCGUAACAAUAACGGUCCUAAGGUAGCGAAAUUCCUUGUCGGGUAAGUUCCGACCUGCACGAAUGGCGUAACGAUGGCCACACUGUCUCCUCCUGAGACUCAGCGAAGUUGAAAUGUUUGUGAUGAUGCAAUCUCCCCGCGGAAAGACGGAAAGACCCCAUGAACCUUUACUGUAGCUUUGUAUUGGACUUUGAACAGAUCUGUGUAGGAUAGGUGGGAGGCUUUGAAGCAGGGUCGCUAGAUCUUGUGGAGCCAACGUUGAAAUACCACCCUGGUGUGUUUGAGGUUCUAACCUAGGUCCAUUAUCUGGAUCGGGGACAGUGCAUGGUAGGCAGUUUGACUGGGGCGGUCUCCUCCCAAAGCGUAACGGAGGAGUUCGAAGGUACGCUAGUUACGGUCGGACAUCGUGACGAUAGUGCAAUGGCAUAAGCGUGCUUAACUGCGAGACUGACAAGUCGAGCAGAUGCGAAAGCAGGACAUAGUGAUCCGGUGGUUCUGUAUGGAAGGGCCAUCGCUCAACGGAUAAAAGGUACUCUGGGGAUAACAGGCUGAUACCGCCCAAGAGUUCAUAUCGACGGCGGUGUUUGGCACCUCGAUGUCGGCUCAUCUCACCCUGGGGCUGUAGCCGGUCCCAAGGGUAUGGCUGUUCGCCAUUUAAAGAGGUACGUGAGCUGGGUUUAAAACGUCGUGAGACAGUUUGGUCCCUAUCUUCCGUGGGCGCUGCAGAUUUGAGGAAGCCUGCUCCUAGUACGAGAGGACCGGAGUGGACACACCUCUGGUGUAUCGGUUGUCACGCCAGUGGCAUUGCCGAGUAGCUAAGUGUGGAAGAGAUAACCGCUGAAAGCAUCUAAGCGGGAAACUCGUUUCAAGAUGAGAUCUGCCGGGGCCUUGAGCCCCCUAAAGAGUCGUUCAAGACCAGGACGUUGAUAGGUCAGGUGUGGAAGC
rnacentral:rRNA from 1 species